rnacentral:rRNA from 1 species
UCAUUCUCAAAUCAGGCGAGACUACCCGCUGAACUUAAGCAUAUCACUAAGCGGAGGAAAAGAAACUAACCAGGAUUCCCCUAGUAACGGCGAGUGAACAGGGAAGAGCUCAAGCCUAAAAUCUUCGGAAUUGUAGUCUAUAGGUGCAAACUUGUGCAGCCCCGGGUAGAAAUCCGUUCUUGGAACUGGGUGCCAGAGAGGGUUAGAGCCCCGUCUUUGACUCGGUCGGCUGUGCGUGGUAAGAAUGCACCAAAGAGUCGGCUUGCUUGGGAAUGCAGGCCAAAUCGGGUGGUAAACUCCAUCUAAAGCUAAAUAUUGGCGAGAGACCGAUAGCGAACAAGUACUGUGAAGGAAAGAUGGAAAGAACUUUGAAAAGAGAGUGAAAAAGGGCUUGAAAUUGUUGAGAGGAGAAGUGAUUGGAGCCUAUCCUGCGUUACGGGAUACCUGGGCUGGAGCUUGCUUCAACCCCUACCAUGCCGUAGCGCUGGCCAGCAUCGGUUUUCUGUGGGGGACAAGGCUUGCAGGGCAGAGGCUUCAAACACCUCUGGCUGUGAGCGCAUGACCCGUGGGGGACCGAGGCACCAAGAACGCGCCUAGCGGCCGGCCCAUUGUGCUCUCUGCACAUUGGCAGCACACUCACGUGUUCUGUCUCUGUGUUGGGGUUGCCACGGUGGAGCGCUGGACCUGCGUUCUGAAGAUGCUGGCACAAUGGCUUCAACCAGCCCGUCUUGAAACACGGACCAAGGAGUCUAACACGUAUGCGAGUAGUAAGGUGGCAAACCUUGGAUGCAAAAUGAAAGUGAACGUAGGUGGGAUCCCUUCUGGGGUGCACCAUCGACCGACCAGGAUCUACUGUGAAAGGUUUGAGUAAGAGCAUAUUUGUUGGGACCCGAAAGAUGGUGAACUAUGCCUGAAUAGGGUGAAGCCAGAGGAAACUCUGGUGGAGGCUCGUAGCGGUACUGACGUGCAAAUCGUUCGUCAAAUUUGGGUAUAGGGGCGAAAGACUAAUCGAACCAUCUAGUAGCUG